GUGUGGUUAAUAAACCAGGUCUAAAUAUUUCCAGGCUACUGGUGGGUCAGGCACGCACUGACAGCAAUGUUGUGGAUGGUGAUACUGGCUUUGAACAUGGAAGAAAACAAGGUCUGGUCUCCUUUUUUCACCCAGACGGUGUCGACGAUCUGACCUAGGAGAUAACAGGACAGAUAUAGAAACCAAAGCUGAGAGCGGGAGAUAACUAUCCCAAAAGCACCACGUCGGUGGGGAGCCGGGUUGCCAGAGAAAACACAGGACAUCCAGUGAAGUCAGGUGCCUCCUGACCCAGCAGACCCCCAUGAGCCCAGAUCCCUGAGACCUGGUGGCUGCCAUUAUGACAUUCCCCGACUGCAUCUUAGGACCCAAGUCUGACCCCCUGCAGGAUCUGCAGCUGUGUUACAGGAAAGGGGACCCGAUCCAGACCCCAAGGGAGGGUUCUUGAAUCUCGUGCAAGAAACAACUCGGGAUGCAGUUGCUGUGGUUCACACACCUCUGGCAGCUGGGCUCCUUGGGAUCUCCUGACAUUCUGUGCCCUCUGUGCCCUCCUCCCUCACUGCCAUCGCUGUCUUCCUGAGCCUCCUCCUUCUGAAUUUCUUCAUCACCAAGAAGAGGAAUCGCUGUUAGGUUUGGCUUUUGGGAAAGGGAUGGACCAGGCAGGCAGUAGGGAGGGAGACACAGGCCCUGGCAUGGGCGAUGGGGAGGGGAGAGCUGAGUGGGAGCCGGUGGGUCUGUCUUUGUUCUUGUCUCUGUGAGUUGCCCAUUGUGCAGAUCUGCCCCGCUCCUUCCCCAUCGCAAUGGAUGGGGACUCCUCUCUCUAGUGUUCAGGCCCCGGGCCCUGGGUCAGAUCAAUGCCUUUUUCUCCUGCACUCCGUUAGUCAGAAGAUUUGCUUGGCAUCACCUUGAAAAUGCAUCCAGAAGCAAGGCCCUGGCUCACUCCCUACUUCUGUCCCAGCCUCUCUGCCCUUCCAGCCACAGGAGACCUGUGUGAGCUGAAUCCAUUGCACCCUCCUCUGCUCAGACCCACAGCGGCCCCAUUUUUCUCGAUCUGAGCCAAAGGCCCCAGAGUGGCCCACCAGGCUCACCCUGGGCUGCCUCAUUGCCUCCAGCCUCACCUUCCACCAGUCUCCCUCCGUUUUCCACCUACCAUUCUUCCCCAUCCUCACACCUGCCUGAUGUUCACACAUCCCUCCAGGCAUCUGCUUUAGCUGUUCCCUCCACCUGGACCACCCUCCUUCCAGAAGACCAUUGUCCCCUCCAGCACCCCCUGCAGUCAGGGCUGCCUCCCUCACCACCAUCCAGCAAGGACAUGGCCCGCCCAUCCCUCUCCUCCCAGCAGCUCCCUUCCUUGGCCUGUCCUGGGUUUGUUUUUGCUUUUCCCCAGCACUUCGCACUUCCUAAAGGGCCCUGCAGGAGGCUCCUGGCAGGGGCCGAUGGCCUCGCUCUCCUUAGACUGGAAGCUCCACAGCAGCACGGGCCACUCCCUGUGGCAGACUCAGUAUCUAGUUAGUGCUCCGCAUGC